ACAAGGUAAAGCUCAGCUUUCGUUUCAGCCUCUCAGCCGCUAUAGUCUUCAACCCUAAAUCGACUUUGUACUCCCUCUCCCUGCAGUUCCUUUCCGUCGCUCGCCUUUCGUCUCCGACUCUCCGGCUCCGACUCUCCUUGAAUCUCUCUUUACCGAUGUGAUUCCCGUCUGAGUUCCUAAGAAAUUGGUCAAAUUCGGUAAGAAUAGUGACAGAUGCGUGCAGGAAUCCAUCAAAUAUGGUUCUAGCAGAUAAAUGUUGCUGUUUCAUUGUUGAUCACAAGGAUUCUGCAGGCAGUAGCAUCUGCUCUCUUCAGAUGCAGUUCGUAGUUGCAACUGUUAGACAUACAAAGUCGAGUUUCAUAAAUGAGGGGCUAUCAUGGAAGCAGUUGCUUCAUUUGGUUGUUUUACCCUGUGACUCAAAAUAGUUCUUGCAAUUUUUCGAUGUUCGCUGAGUAACUUUUUUGUUUUCAUUUGAUAUUAUAUAUUUUGGUGUUUCGUGUUCAAAACUUGCCCUGGUUGGGACCGUCGAGUGUGAUGUUGUUUUUUGCUGCUUCUCUUGCGUUUUUGUUUCUGUAUAAGUACCUGGACUUCUAAUGGAUUGUAAUGAGAUUACAUUUUGCAUCAAUGGUAUUUUUGGUUUAAGAGCUAUACCUGCUACUCUGUGAAAGCUGUGUUAAUGUUACAUCAUCGUCCAAACAAUUGGACAAGUAAUGACAUCGAGUAGAAAAUAGCCCAAGCGAUUGAUAUGAAUAUGGGCUGUUCAAAGUGAA